UUGCAAGCAGAGAAAAUCAUACCAUAUUGUACAUUUGUGUACAAAAAUAGAAAUAAUAUAAUUAGAAGUUCAGCGGACAUGAUAAAAUAAAUCAAUAGAACUAUUCUGCUUAUUAAAUUAAACAAAACAAACCUGUGAUCAUUAAUAUAAUUGCUAGCUAGAAGAGAAAAUCAUACCAAUGUUGUUGUUUGUUAAAGAGACUAAAUAGAUAAAAAUUGGGAUGUGUACAUUAAACAGCAUUAUGAUUUCACAGCACAUUUAACUUAUUGAACAUAAACAAUUACUAAAUGUAAAAUAACUCUCAAAAUACUUAUGUUAUGCAUUGUUAAAAACAUUCUAUGUAAUAAAAC
rnacentral:lncRNA from 1 species